rnacentral:rRNA from 1 species
GAUGAACGCUGGCGGCGUGCCUAAUACAUGCAAGUCGAGCGAACAGGCGAGGAGCUUGCUCCUCUGACGUUAGCGGCGGACGGGUGAGUAACACGCGGAUAACCUACCUAUAAGACUGGGAUAACUUCGGGAAACCGGAGCUGAUACCGGAUAAUAUAUUGAACCGCAUGGUUCAAUAGUGAAAGACGGUUUUGCUGUCACUUAUAGAUGGAUCCGCGCCGCAUUAGCUAGUUGGUAAGGUAACGGCUUGCCAAGGCAACGAUGCGUAGCCGACCUGAGAGGGUGAUCGGCCGCACUGGAACUGAGACACGGUCCAGACUCCUACGGGAGGCAGCAGUAGGGAAUCUUCCGCAAAGGGCGAAAGCCUGACGGAGCAACGCCGCGUGAGUGAUGAAGGUCUUCGGAUCGUAAAACUCUGUUAUUAGGGAAGAACAAAUGUGUAAGUAACUAUGCACGUCUUGACGGUACCUAAUCAGAAAGCCACGGCUAACUACGUG